CUGUACUUCAGAUGUUGGUUAGUUUAACGAUGCAUCGUACCAUGAUAGUUCAAUGCUACCUUCCCGCGUUGUACAGGAAAAGCACUGGUCGAUCUGGUGACACCUGAGGUUACUGUCACAAAUCCUCGGCUGUAGUAACCGUUUAGGUGUUUGUGUGUGUUUGUUCUUUGUCUAUGGUUUACGUGCUGGGUGCUUGUUGUGUUUUUGUUUUGUCUUGUGGUACUCUCUUGGCAGUGCUUGGGGGAGCAUGCCUAUCUCUGGCUUCUCACACACCUGGCUCUGAGGUCGUCACCACACCUGCUCCGCAACUAAUCAUCUGCAGUACUUCAGGAGCAGCCACACAUCAUUGAAUCAUUCCUGGAAACUCAGUCCUGAAAACCCAGCCUGUGCAGCCUACGCUACCUGAAAGCCAGUUUGGAACCAACCCCUAUUCAAGCCCGCCAUCCAGCCUCUUGCAGAAUAACCUCCCCUGGACUUCCUCCACUCUCACCUGCCAGCUUUCCCCAAAUCCACAUUUCACUAUUGUCUAAAUAAACUUUUAAAACUCUC